rnacentral:rRNA from 1 species
GACGUAGGGUCCGAGCGUUGUCCGGAAUCAUUGGGCGUAAAGAGCGUGUAGGCGGCCCGGUAAGUCCGCUGUGAAAGUCGAGGGCUCAACCCUCGAAUGCCGGCGGAUACUGUCGGGCUAGAGUCCGGAAGAGGCGAGUGGAAUUCCUGGUGUAGCGGUGAAAUGCGCAGAUAUCAGGAGGAACACCUACGGCGAAGGCAGCUCACUGGCCCGAUACUGACGCUGAGGCACGAAAGCGUGAGGAGCAAACAGG